UUAUGACAUACCUGCCUAACCCGGACAUUAAUCUACUGAAGAUGGAUUGGCCUGGUCAUGGUCCUCUGCUAACCUUCAACGGCAUGUACAUUACCUAAAUUGAAAUCUGCACUUUUUCAUGCCACGUGUGGUUUGAUGUGAUGGUCCAAGGAAUGUAGGGUGCAUUAGAAUUGGUUUUUAUGUGAAGAGAAUCUCCAUUCCUAUUUACCUUUCAGCAGGGCAGCUGCAGGCUUUCCUUCUCACUUGACAAUGAAGGCAUUCUUUUCCACCGCUUAACCCAAGAGCAGCUACCCUGGCCGGCUCAGAAUUGCAUAGCGCCAGUCAGGCAUGCCGUGAACUGGAAAAUGUUUUUGAAAUCAAGGAAAAGCAGCAAAAAGGAAGGCGUUACCAUGGAACUGAGAGAGGAGAUAAAAAUCUUUGUUCCUGAUGGUCUUGUUCCCACCUGCCUGGGUGCUGCAGCUCUGUGCUGCCUGAGAAAGCCAGUGACCAAGAGGAGCAGAAGACUACCAGUCGACCUUCCAACCACGAUGGCCGUUGAAGAGAUGCCAUCAAGCCAGGGUCUCUGCUUCUCCCUGCUGCAGCCUGUAUCCGAGACUGGCUUCCUGACCUGCACCUCAGUGAAAGGAAGGAAAGAGAAGGGGAAAUAGAAACAGAAGCAAUGUGUGAAAGAUCCAGUUGCUCUACGUCCUUGCCAGCAGUUGGUAUGGUAAGUAUUUUCAAAAUUUUAUCUAUCCAAAUAGAUGGGUAGUGGUAGCUCAUUGUGGCUUUAGUUUGCAUUUUCCUAAUGGCUAACUUUCCUAAUCUUUUCAUGUACUUAUUUGCCAUACGUAUCUUUUUUGGUUAAAUGUCUGUUCAUAUGUUUUGCCUGCCAAUUUCUUUUCUUGUUAGUGAGUUUUGAGAGUUCCUUAUAUAUUCUACAUACAAGUCUUUUAUUAGAUAUAUGAUCUGCAAAUGUUUUCGCCCACUUUGUGGCUUCUCUAUUCUGUUCUCUUACAAGUAUUUUUCAAACAGUAGAAAUUCUUAAUUAAAUUUAUUUACUUUUCCUUCUAUAACUGUGCUUGGUUGUCAUGUCUAAGAAAUUGUUGCCAGACCCCAACAGCAAAGAUUAUUUUCCCAGUUUUUGCUAGAUGCUUUAUAGUUUUUGAUUAGUGAAGAUAUUAUGAUUGGAGAAGAAAAUUCAGGGGCUUUAAAAAUACUGUCAUAGUUAUAUUUUGUUUAACCUGCUUGGUAUUUACAUAGGUGCUUGCUUUAUUAUUUUUUUAAAUGCUAUAUAUCUGUACAUCUCUGGGUAUGUUUACAGUAAAAAAUUAGAAAACGAGUAUGACAAAAAUUUGACAUCCAUUCAUGUCAUAGGAAAAAUAAGCUGUAAAUAUUAUACUUAAUGGAGAAAGAUUCGCAGCAUUCUCUUUGAAGUACAGUAGACAAGUAUGCUCACCAUAACGGCUUGUAUUCAACAUUGUUUCAGAGGGCCUGGCUAUAUCAGUAAAAUAAAAAUCAGAACAAAUAAAUAUUCACAAUGAUUAUAAAGGAAUGAUAAAAACAAAAUAAAGGUGAUAGGAUUAUUUCUAUAUAAUGUCUGAGACAGUCUAACAAGCUAUUACAAUUAGUUUCAAAAUUUUUACAUAGUUUCUGGAAAUAAGAUUAACAUAAAAGAU
ensembl:lncRNA